GGGGAAGUAGCUCAGUGGUAGAGCGCUUGCUAAUAUGUGCAAGGACCUGGGUUCAAUCUCCAGUACCCACA
rnacentral:tRNA from 1 species